GAGGGCAAGGGGGAGCGCGGCCCCCACCGCUAACAGCGUCCCAGUCACCCAGGAGAUCUGGGGGCGGGGGUCAAGGGAAGAGCCUCUGGCGCCACGACCAAUCAUGGUUUGAAAUCAUUGCUGUCGAAAAGCUAUCUACACUGGACCUGAAAUUCAGCAGCUCUAGAAAGAAGCAAGGACACAGAAUGGAGAAAAGCAAUAGCUGGAGAUGACGGAGUUCUUCUGAGCAUUCAUAACUCACACAGAUGUUGACCCACAUUAGUUACACUAAUCCUCAAGAUAUUGUGCCUUGUUGAAGGAACGUCAUGCUGGGUGUUGUCUAAAGGAUACUGGGAGGAGACUGAUUGCCCACACACAAAGAAAAAACACAACCCUACUGGCCCAUCAUCAGUGGCCUUGAUAGACUCUCCAGAACAUCAGCUAUUUUACCUUUCAGGAGGGUAGAUCACUGCCUUGGCUAAUCACAGCAUCUGAAGGCAUACAACCCUUACCUAUCGUCAAAGCAGAACUACAUCCCCACAAUCAUACAUUUAGGAACAAAGAAGUUGGUCAGUUCCAAGAUCAGGGACUGUACCCUGAAAAGCAGCAACUCUGAAAAGGAUUUUGGGGGCAGGAUAGGUAAGUAAUAGAAUGUGAUGUCCCAUUGUGAUACUGGGACAAAACAAACCAUCAUUCUUGGAUGUAUAAAUGGGAGAAUGCUGAGCAGGAGUAAGGAGGUAGUAUUACUUGUGUAUGUGACCCAAGAACCAGUGGUGUGAAGUUUAAAUUAAAAUAUAAAAACUUCUUAAUAAAUGGAACAGCUUACAAAAGGAAGUGCUAAAUUCAUUAUCAUGACUGGAUAUCCCUGUAAAAGAUUGCUAUAGUUCAACAAAAGAUACUGGGUUGAACAGUGUUUACUUACAUAGCAGGAAAGAAUAAUUCUCUCUGCUGGAGGACUUAUUGGAUAAAAGUAGGCUUGCUUAAAAGUGCACAGAAUUAGGCUUUUUUAUAAUGUAAAAAAUGAAACUGUAUGGCAUCUUUUUGUUGUUGCCUGCUAGUUGUUCCUUCACUCAAGCAGAUGUUCAAUUUCAGUAAAUGUUAUUUUUAUG